UCCAAUACAGAAUAAAAAAUUCAGAAGAAAAAAAAAUACAGUUGCUUUAUGGGAAUCAAAUGUUUUAUGUCAGUUUCUCUUCCAACUAUCCGAAGUUUUCCUGAAAUGUAUAUUUGGAAGGUAAAACUUUCUAAACAUAUUGAACACUUCUACGUUUUCUUAAGGAAAAUUUCAUACCUUAAUGAUGGCGGAAGAGAAGGAUUUAGGUUUUUCAAUUACAGCAUCACUGAUUUGGGAGGGCUGGAAAAAUUCAACCUCUUCAUUUUACUGUGAGAAAAAUUGGGGCUGGAGAGAGAAUUGGGUCACACAGUUAGUAAGUGGCAAGGUGAUAGUUGAACGCAGACUUCCAAAUUCCUGGUCCAGUUCUCCGUUUAGUAUUCCAGGCUGCUUUUGGGUAUGGAUUUUGAUGACUGAGGUCUCCGGAAGUCUGAAAAUAAGUGCUGAGAGUUCAUACAAAAAGAUAAAUGAGUCGUUCCUAUGUGUCCUAUUCUCCAAGUAGCUGGCUUCUGACCUGCUCCACUAGAGAGAAGACUUCUAGGUCUUCAUAAGAAAGCAAUGUGAUGUAACAGAAAUACUAUGAUGGUCAGAGUCAAACAGAACUGGAAUCAAAUUCUGCAUCAGCCACUGUCAGCUUUCUACAAAGUUGUAAGAGUGACCGCCAUUGAUGCCACCCACCAAACUGUGUGACGUAAAAGAUACCAGUGCUGACGUCCAGGUUAUACAAAGAGUCUGGAUUUACCCACUCUCUGGAAGGAUUGAGCUCACCACACAGCCAGGCUACAAGAUUGUGAAGCAAUAUAACCUCACUGAUACCUCACCAUGGAAGGUGUGGACUGUGACAAAUAUCAUCCUUGCACAGCGACAGCCCUGGAGGAAGUGUGGAGCUCUAAAUUAUUGUCACAACAUCAAAGGACUCUUGAAAGACCUUCAGAGUGGAUACUGCUGUAUUGAUGAUGCGGAAUGUGUUUUUAAUGACUGAGGUUUUGUCAUCAGAGAAGAGAGGUCACGGUUGACAUCUUAGACAAGAGUGAUGAAGCUCCUCUCUGGACACCUUCUGUAUGCCAGGCAGUCAUUUUUGACAAUGUUGUUGCUGGGACAAACGUCAACGGUUUCCAACUAAACUGUCAUGACAGAGAUUCACAGGAUUUUGAAAUGUGCUUUGAGACGGUUUCUGGAAAUGUGAGCAAUCAUUUUGGAUUUGACCCAACUCAGGGUUCAAAUACUCUGAAAUUAAUUGUGAAGAAUCCUUUUAACUUUGAAUCUGGAGCUAAACUGCAGCGGCAGUACCAUCUUGUAGCGCACAUAAUUGACGACAACCUGAAAUAACGGCAAAGACACCAAGCCCAAGACAGGCACCGCUGUUACAGAUAUUUAUGUGACAAGGGCCAAUAUGCCACCUCCUCCAACCACCGGCUCUGAAAGAAAUAAAGUAUAUGGCAGG